rnacentral:rRNA from 1 species
AGUGAACGCUGGCGGUAGGCCUAACACAUGCAAGUCGAACGGCAGCACAGUAAGAGCUUGCUCUUACUGUUGGCGAGUGGCGGACGGGUAAGGAAUACAUCGGAAUCUACUUUUUCGUGGGGGAUAACGUAGAGAAACUUACGCUAAUACCUCAUACUACCUACGGGUGAAAUCAAGAGAGCUUCAGACCUUUCGCGAUUGAAUGAGCCGAUGUCGGAUUAGCUAGUUGGCGGGGUAAAGUCCCACCAAGGCGACGAUCCGUAGCUGGUCUGAGAGGAUGAUCAGCCACACUGGAACUGAGACACGGUCCAGACUCCUACGGGAGGCAGCAGUGGGGAAUAUUGGACAAUGGGCGAAAGCCUGAUCCAGCAAUACCGCGUGGGUGAAGAAGGUCUUCGGGUUGUAAAGCCCUUUUGUUGGGAAAGAAAAGAAGCAGGUUAAUACCCCGCUGUUCUGACGGUACCCAAAGAAUAAGCACCGGCUAACUUCGUG